UAAGAAUUUUUAUGCAUAAUAAUGAAAUUAUUAUUAUAUAAUGAUCGAUUAUAAAUUUUAAAUAUUAAAUUAUGGAUGAUAUAUUAUUAAAUAUCAUUGGCAACAAGAUAUAUAAAUUGAAGAUAAAUCGAGAACGAUUUUAGAGACGAUUUUAAAUUGGAUUAUAUAUGAUACAAUUUAUUGAUUUGUACGUAAAACUAUACUAUAUAAGACGAAAUUAUUAAAAAGAAAAAAUAGAAGAGAAAUAUAUAUAUAUAUAUAUAUCUAUAUAUAAUAAUCAAAUGCCUGGGAAUGUUCCAGUUUGCAAAUAUGAAUUUAGAAAUUAAUGAAGUGCAUUGCACAAAUAGGACUGCGAUUAAAUUAAAGUGGAGCGUGAUUUUCUGGCUGAUUCAUCAUCAUAAUGAUUGACAUCAGGAAGAAAAAAAGAAAAAAA